rnacentral:rRNA from 1 species
GACGAACGCUGGCGGCGUGCCUAACACAUGCAAGUCGAGCGGGGUGCAGCAAUGCACCCAGCGGCGAACGGGUGAGUAACGCGUGGAUAACCUACCCCUAUGCCUGGGAUAACACUUCGAAAGAGGUGCUAAUACCGGAUAAUCCAUAGCCGACAGAAGUCAGAUAUGGCAAAGGCGGUGUAAGCCGUCACAGAGGGAAGGGUCCGCGUCCCAUUAGCUAGUUGGUGAGGUAAGAGCUCACCAAGGCGACGAUGGGUAGCCGGCCUGAGAGGGUGACCGGCCACACUGGGACUGAGACACGGCCCAGACUCCUACGGGAGGCAGCAGUGGGGAAUCUUCCGCAAUGGACGAAAGUCUGACGGAGCAACGCCGCGUGAGUGAAGAAGGUUUUCGGAUCGUAAAGCUCUGUCUUAAGGGAAGAACGGGUCAGGGAGGAAAUGCCUUGGCAAUGACGGUACCUUAAGAGGAAGCCCCGGCUAACUACGUGCCAGCAGCCGCGGUAAUACGUAGGGGGCGAGCGUUGUCCGGAAUUACUGGGCGUAAAGCGCAUGUAGGCGGCCUGUUAAGUCAGGUGUGAAAACUGACGGCUCAACCGUGAGAUUGCACAUGAAACUGGCAGGCUUGAGGGCAGGAGAGGAGAGCGGAAUUCCUAGUGUAGCGGUGAAAUGCGUAGAUAUUAGGAGGAACACCAGUGGCGAAGGCGGCUCUCUGGACUGAACCUGACGCUGAGGUGCGAAAGCUAGGGUAGCGAACGGGAUUAGAUACCCCGGUAGUCCUAGCCGUAAACGAUGGGCACUAGGUGUAGGAGGUAUCGACCCCUUCUGUGCCGGAGCAAACGCAAUAAGUGCCCCGCCUGGGGAGUACGGCCGCAAGGCUGAAACUCAAAGGAAUUGACGGGGGCCCGCACAAGCAGUGGAGCAUGUGGUUUAAUUCGACGCAACGCGAAGAACCUUACCAGGGUUUGACAUCUUCUUAAGGCUGCAGAGAUGUAGCCAACCGGCCUUGGUCGGAGAGAAAGACAGGUGGUGCAUGGUUGUCGUCAGCUCGUGUCGUGAGAUGUUGGGUUAAGUCCCGCAACGAGCGCAACCCCUGUACUUUGUUGCUAACGAGUAGAGUUGAGCACUCAAAGUAGACUGCCGGAGACAAUUCGGAGGAAGGUGGGGACGACGUCAAAUCAUCAUGCCCUUUAUGCCCUGGGCUACACACGUGCUACAAUGGUCUGAACAACGGGAAGCGACGGGGCGACCCUGAGCCAAUCCUUCAAAGCAGGCCUCAGUUCGGAUUGCAGGCUGCAACCCGCCUGCAUGAAGCUGGAAUUGCUAGUAAUCGCGGAUCAGCAUGCCGCGGUGAAUACGUUCCCGGGCCUUGUACACACCGCCCGUCACACCACGAAAGCGUGCAACACCCGAAGCCGGUGAGCUAACCCGUAAGGGAGGCAGCCGUCCACGGUGGGGCAGGUGAUUGGGGUG